AACGAACGCUGGUGGCAGGCCUAACACAUGCAAGUCGAGCGAGACCUUCGGGUCUAGCGGCGGACGGGUUAGUAACGCGUGGGAACGUACCCUUUUCUAAGGAAUAGCCACUGGAAACGGUGAGUAAUACCUUAUACGCCCUUCGGGGGAAAGAUUUAUCGGAGAAGGAUCGGCCCGCGUUAGAUUAGAUAGUUGGUGGGGUAACGGCCUACCAAGUCGACGAUCUAUAGCUGGUUUGAGAGGAUGAUCAGCAACACUGGGACUGAGACACGGCCCAG
rnacentral:rRNA from 1 species